rnacentral:lncRNA from 1 species
UUGAUUUAGAGACGCCCCUCGGGAUCAGGAUCAAGAGUUUCGCCCCCUCACGUAUCUAUUUUUCGUGCGUUUUCGUGGCCAUACCAUACAUCGACCUCUUUACCUAUUCCCUUGAAAGAAAGAAAAAUGAGUCCUUCUAUCCCGAAUUGCUAGUCUUACUCCUUUACCUUCUUAUCUGAUUUCACUAGUCUCAGGGACAUCUCUUUACAUCUGGCCAUUCCUUCUUACCUUUUUUAUGAACUCCUAAUGCCGAGAUAAGGCAUUGGUAUGUAUUAUUUUGUUUUGCCUGCAAGGGUAUAAGAAGAAGUAAGGAAAGCACAGCUUUGGCUUUCCCGGGAUCUCUCCUUGGCUUACUGGACUUCCUGCUUGACUUCUUUACCGAAUUACCGGAUUGCUAGCACAGGAAAGAGGGAGAGAAGGAGUGUAAACAAUUUCAAACCUGAUUCCCCGC